rnacentral:rRNA from 1 species
GACGAACGCUGGCGGCGUGCCUAACACAUGCGAGUCGAACGGAAAGGCCCUGCUUUCGUGGGGUGCCCGAGUGGCGAACAGGUGAGUAACACGUGAGUAACCUGCCCUUGACUUUGGGAUAACUUCAGGAAACUGGGGCUAAUACCGGAUAGGAGCUCCCGCUGCAUGGUGGGGGUUGGAAAGUUUCGGCGGUUGGGGAUGGACUCGCGGCUUAUCAGCUUGUUGGUGGGGUAGUGGCUUACCAAGGCGUUGACGGGUAGCCGGCCUGAGAGGGUGACCGGCCACGUUGGGCCUGGGGUAGGGCCCAGACUCGUACGGGAGGCAGUGGUGGGGAGUAUUGCACAAUGGGCCGAAGCCUGAGGCGGCAACGCUGGGUGCGGAAUGCCGUCCUUCGGGUUAUGAACCGCUUUCGCCUGUGACGAAGCGUGUGUGACGGUAAUGAGUAAAGAAGCACCGGCUAACUACGUG